rnacentral:rRNA from 1 species
GACGAACGCUGGCGGCGUGCCUAAUACAUGCAAGUUGAGCGCUGAAGGUUGGUACUUGUACCAACUGGAUGAGCAGCGAACGGGUGAGUAACGCGUGGGGAAUCUGCCUUUGAGCGGGGGACAACAUUUGGAAACGAAUGCUAAUACCGCAUAAAAACUUUAAACACAAGUUUUAAGUUUGAAAGAUGCAAUUGCAUCACUCAAAGAUGAUCCCGCGUUGUAUUAGCUAGUUGGUGAGGUAAAGGCUCACCAAGGCGAUGAUACAUAGCCGACCUGAGAGGGUGAUCGGCAACAUUGGGACUGAGACACGGCCCAAACUCCUACGAGAGGCAGCAGUAGGGAAUCUUCGGCAAUGGACGAAAGUCUGACCGAGCAACGCCGCGUGAGUGACGAAGGUUUUCGGAUCGUAAAACUCUGUUGGUAGAGAAGAACGUUGGUGAGAGUGGAAAGCUCAUCAAGUGACGGUAACUACCCAGAAAGGGACGGCUAACUACGUG